GACGAACGCUGGCGGCGUGCCUAAUACAUGCAAGUCGAACGCUGAAGGAGGAGCUUGCUUCUCUGGAUGAGUUGCGAACGGGUGAGUAACGCGUAGGUAACCUGCCUGGUAGCGGGGGAUAACUAUUGGAAACGAUAGCUAAUACCGCAUAAGAGUAGAUGUUGCAUGACAUUUGCUUAAAAGGUGCAAUUGCAUCACUACCAGAUGGACCUGCGUUGUAUUAGCUAGUUGGUGAGGUAACGGCUCACCAAGGCGACGAUACAUAGCCGACCUGAGAGGGUGAUCGGCCACACUGGGACUGAGACACGGCCCAGACUCCUACGGGAGGCAGCAGUAGGGAAUCUUCGGCAAUGGACGGAAGUCUGACCGAGCAACGCCGCGUGAGUGAAGAAGGGUUUCGGAUCGUAAAGCUCUGUUGUAAGAGAAGAACGAGUGUGAGAGUGGAAAGUUCACACUGUGACGGUAUCUUACCAGAAAGAGACGGCUAACUACGUG
rnacentral:rRNA from 1 species